UACGUAGGGGGCAAGCGUUGUUCGGAAUUACUGGGCGUAAAGGGCGCGUAGGCGGCACGGCAAGUCAGGAGUGAAAGCCCUGGGCUCAACCCGGGAACUGCUUUUGAAACUGCCGAGCUAGAGUGCGGAAGGGGCAACUGGAAUUCCCAGUGUAGCGGUGAAAUGCGUAGAUAUUGGGAAGAACACCUGAGGCGAAGGCGGGUUGCUGGGCCGACACUGACGCUGAGGUGCGAAAGCGUGGGGAGCAAACAGG
rnacentral:rRNA from 1 species